rnacentral:rRNA from 1 species
CUUUUGGAGCCAGCCGCCUAAGGUGGGAUAGAUGAUUGGGGUGAAGUCGUAACAAGGUAGCCGUAUCGGAAGGUGCGGCUGGAUCACCUCCUUUCUAAGGAA